rnacentral:rRNA from 1 species
GACGAACGCUGGCGGCGUGCUUAACACAUGCAAGUCGAACGGAAAGGCCCUGCUUUUGUGGGGUGCUCGAGUGGCGAACGGGUGAGUAACACGUGAGUAACCUGCCCUUGACUUUGGGAUAACUUCAGGAAACUGGGGCUAAUACCGGAUAGGAGCUCCUGCUGCAGUGUGGGGGUUGGAAAGUUUCGGCGGUUGGGGAUGGACUCGCGGCUUAUCAGCUUGUUGGUUGGGUAGUGGCUUACCAAGGCUUUGACGGGUAGCCGGCCUGAGAGGGUGACCGGCGACAUUGGGACUGAGGUACGGCCCAGACUCGUACGGGAGGCAGCAGUGGGGAAUAUUGCACAAUGGGCGGAAGCCUGAUGCAGCAACGCCGCGUGCGGGAUGACGGCCUUCGGGUUGUAAACCGCUUUCGCCUGUGACGAAGCGUGAGUGACGGUAAUGGGUAAAGAAGCACCGGCUAACUACGUG